AUAAAUAAAUAAGCUCAUAAUUUGCCUUCAAUACGUAUAACAUAAGCAAUGCGUUGUAAAAUAUAUAUACAUAUAUAUAUAUGCAUAUAUAUACACAUAUGUGUAUACAUAUAUGUCAUACGAACAUCAGUAAACCACGGAUGUAAAAUUAAAGAGAAAAUUGAAAAAUAAGUCAAAAUAAAAAAUCAAGUUAAUAUUAAAGAAGAAAAGAGACAUCGAGAAAAGAAGCAAGCUUAUAUGUACUAGAAAACUCUGAAGUGUGUUUAACAGAAUAAAAUAUCAAGAGGAUAGAAAUAUACACGUCCAGGAGAGUCGAGCACAUAAUUCAAGGAACCAUUUAAGGGGAAUAUUAAUGACUACGACGAGUAUAUUCUAUUCCUGGCAAUCUGCUGUAAGUAAUUUUUCAUUUUCUUGAUUAGCGGCGAGUAAUAAUUAUAAUAGAAAAA